rnacentral:rRNA from 1 species
AACCCGACUGGGGGAUGGCUCGGCUCGAGAGCCGAAGAAGGUCGUGACAAGCUGCGAUAAGUUGCGGGGAGAGGCAUGAAUCUCUUGGAUCCGCAAAUUGCUGAAUGGGACCUCCUGGCACUCUGUGCCAUUCCUAAAUGGAAAGGGAACCUCCUGAACUGAAGCAUCUCAGUAGGGAGAGGAAAAGAAAUCAAACGAGAUACCGCUAGUAGUGGCGAAUGAAAACGGUAUAGGACAAACCGAAUCUUCAUGAGAAAUCAUAAAGAGAUGUGGGGUAUGGAUCAUUUGUAGUCUAAGUCAUGGAAAUAGAAGUCGCCUGGAAUGGCGCACCAUAGAGGGUGAAAGACCCGUAUAUGUACAUGAUAUGACCAAGUGAUGAAUCCUGAGUAUCGUGCGUUGGAUAUCGCGCGUGAAUAUGGGAGGCAUAAACUUCCAAUCCUAAAUACUACUCGAGACCGAUAGUUGACAAGUAGCGUGAGCGAAAGCUGAAAAGUAUCCUUAGCGGGAUGUGAAAAGAACCUGAAACCAGUCGGGAACAAGCUGAAUAGGCGUGAAAGCGAAGAUAUGAGCAGCGUCUAUUCGUGCGUUUCGAAUAAUGCCCCUGGGAGUUCUGAUUAAUGGCGAGGUUAAGGAGUUGAACUCCGAAGCCGAAGGGAAACCGAAAGGUCCGCAGCCGCUUAUGCGGUGAGGGACUGGGUGUGCUCGCCCGGAGUCAUUAGUGGGAGACCUGAAGCCUGUCGAUCUAUGCCUGGCCAGAUUGAAGCCCGAUGAAAGUUGGGUGGAGGAUCCAACCGUUGCUGAUGUGCAAAUCGCUCGGAUGAGCUGGGUAUAGGGGUGAAAGUCCAAUCGAGAUAGGCAAUAGCAGGUUCCGCGCGAGACUACUCGCAGGUAGAUCUUCGUAGAGAUAGAUUACGAUGUAGAGCACUGAUUGGGUAUUUAGGGGGAGCAAUCCCUCGGUACGCUGUCAAACUCCGAAGUUGUAAUCGUCGUAGAAGCGAGGAGUGAGCCACGGUGGGUAAGCUACCGUGACGAAAGGUGAAGAAACCAGCUCAGUGUUAAGGUCCCAAAAUUACAGUUAAGUGUUAAUUACAAACGGAGUCCGUGGUCGAAGACAACUAGAAGGUGGGCUUAGAGGCAGCCAUCCUUGAAAGAGUUCGUAACAGAUCACUAGUCAAGCUUGCGGGCCCGAAAAAUGGACGGGACUAAAACUGUAUACCGAUACACUGAUCCUUCGAAAGAAGAUGAGGUAGCGCGGCGACAUGCUCGGGUAGAAGCUCGGUUUUGAGAUCGGGUGGACCGUGUAUGUAUGAGAAUCUAGGGAAGAGUAGCAGCAUAGUGCGGUGAGAAUCCGCACCACCGAAGGGGUAAGGGUUCCUCGGCAAUGGUUAUCAGCCGAGGGUUAGCCGAUCCUAAGGUCAUUCCUAACCGAAAUGAUCGAAAGGGAAUUGCGUUAAUAUUCGUAAGCCCCUCUUACAUUAAUGGUGACGGCUUGGGCUAGUUUAUGCGCAUCUGUCAUGGUGCGUCGAAGCGUUCAAUAAUUGAAUGGAGAACCGUAAUGGUGAGAAGUUUGAGAAGACGUGAGCAAAAGAUAGAUGAGGCCUAGGUCCCAUGAAAAACCGUAAGAGGUGAUCGUACCAAGAUCUGACACAGGUACCCAAGGUGAGAAGCCUAAGGUGUGACGGGCAAAGUAUCGUGAAGGAACUCGGCAAAAUCGCUCUGUAACUUCGGGAGAAGGAGUGCCAGGUUCGAGAGAACCUGGUCGCAGUAACAAGGGGACUCCGACUGUUUAAUAAAAACAUAGCCGACUGCUAGUUCGAAAGGAUGUGUAUAGUCGGUGAAUCCUGCUCAGUGCCGGUAUCUGAAAUCGGGUUUCAACCUGAUGAAGGACCGGUAAACAGCGGGGGUAACUAUGACCCUCUUAAGGUAGCGUAAUACCUUGUCGCUUAAUUGGCGACUUGCAUGAAUGGCACAACGAGAGUCCCACUGUCUCCACGAUACGUCCGGCGAAAUUGACUAUUACUGGCGCACAGUCCAGUAACCUCAACCUGCAAGCGAAGACCCCAUAGAGCUUUACUACAGCCUGGCGUUGAAUAAUCGCACACUAUGUGCUGAGUAGACGGGAGAUGUUGAUCAUUUGGACGCCAGUCCAGAUGGGAGUCGUCCAUAGAGACACCGUCCUUAGUUUGUAAUUAUUCUAACUCUUUUAGAGAACACCGUUUGGUGGGUAGUUUGGGUGGGGCGCCACGCGCCCGAAAAUAUAACAGGCGUGCCCAAAGGUCAGCUUAGGUGGUUCAGUCUCCACCGUUAACCGU